UUCAAUAUACCAGAUUGUCAAGAGUGGUUUUAAACACCGUUUGUCUCUAAAACUUUCAUUUGACGGUUUUGUGCGGUCGUUGUGUUGCAAGACGUCAUGGUGUUAGAACCUGGAAGUUGCUUAAGUGCUAUAAAUUACUGUCGGCAGGACUGCUUUGAGCUACAAACACUGCUACUUUGCACGUUUAAGUGUCGUAAACAAGGUUCUGGGGUUCGAGAAUUCUCUACGACUGGCCGCUGCACUCUGGAUAGCGGGUUCGGAUCGCGAGGCAUCAUCACCCACGAAAGCAGCAGAGUUCCAGCAACUGAGAACCACAUCGUUUUCCAGCAUUGCAGUGACUACAAAGCUGUUCCUGUGACUUGGAGAACUGCUUUUUUUCCAUUCAGUCCGUCUCUGGUCACUAACUCCCUGAACUUGAAAAGGUCGGGAAGAGCUGGGAGAAGCUGUCCAAUUGGUCCAGUUCCGCCAAUAACCAGCUGGCUCAGCGCCUGAAGAGCUGAGUUGGAAUGAAAACCUGGAGGAAGACCAGCUCUCCUGGACCAGGACUGGACCACCCCCGUUUAACACAUUUAGAAAACUGAGGAUCAUGCUACACCAAAGUGCAGACUCAGGACUUCACCCAGCUCUCCAGGGGGGAGGAAGAAAGCACAAGACAGCCCACAGAAUGAAAUGAGCAAGCGGAAAUGAACCUGCAGUGAUAACCCAGUGCACAGGGGUGUGGAGUGAAUGGCCAACAGACAAGCAGAUCUUGAACGUCUGUGCAUGUACACUGUCCCUGGGUUCUGUUCCGAACGCCUGUCUUGGAAGCGUCGCAUCUUCUCCAUGCGGAUAAAAAAAAAAAGGAGUGUUGGGCCAGAGAGACAGACUCCUAGCUCAGAACCUGUGCAGCAGUAACAGACCAUGAAAGUGGAUGCUAGAAGCCGGCAAACCCAACACCUUCACCUUUCAAAUUCUUCUAGAGACACAUGUGGCCCCAGAAGACCACUGGGUACAGGGCUCAUUCAAGGGAAGAAAAUCCCUGCAGAAAGGCUGUGUGCAAACUUGAGAGAAACUGAAACCUUGCUGGUAAAGCUAGUUUUGGUCUUUUACGUUACAAGAAGACGGUGGCGAGUAUUCUGCCCUUGUGUUGAACUGUGCUAAUUUUGUGACCUCUUCUCCUUCUCAAUGUUUUUUCUCUCAGUAAAAGCUUUCUCUUUUUUCUCCAGUAGCAGUAGUACUAUACCACCUCUGAACGCUACACAGUAAAUGCAAUGCCACUGGCAGUGUGACAGUCUCUGGCCAUCUCAACCAUUGAUGACAUUUCCUUGAGGUCAUGGGAUAACAGCACUGGAAAAUCACUGGAAAUUAGGAGUGAUCCUCUGCAUCCCCCUCUGUACAGCUCUCUCUUCACUGUCCCCACAUACCUCAGAUUAAAAAAGUUCUUACUGAAAA